GACGGCAUGGGCGGAGCCUGACCCAGCCAUGCCGCGUGCAGGAUGAAGGCCUUCUGGGUUGUAAACUGCUUUUACAGGGGAAGAAAACGCCCAUGCGUGGGAAACUGACGGUACCCUGGGAAUAAGCACCGGCUAACUCCGUGCCAGCAGCCGCGGUAAUACGGAGGGUGCAAGCGUUGUCCGGAUUUAUUGGGUUUAAAGGGUGCGUAGGCGGCCCAUUAAGUCAGUGGUGAAAGCCCGGGGCUCAACCCCGGAACCGCCAUUGAUACUGGUGGGCUUGAGUAUGGACGAGGUUGGCGGAAUUGAGGGUGUAGCGGUGAAAUGCUUAGAUACCCUCAAGAACACCGAUUGCGUAGGCAGCUAACUAGGCCAUAACUGACGCUGAGGCACGAAAGCGUGGGGAGCGAACAGGAUUAGAUACCCUGGUAGUCCACGCCGUAAACGAUGACUACUCGAUGUCGGCGACAGACUGUCGGCGUCUUAGCGAAAGCGUUAAGUAGUCCACCUGGGGAGUACGCCCGCAAGGGUGAAACUCAAUGAAAUUUGACGGA
rnacentral:rRNA from 1 species